rnacentral:rRNA from 1 species
AUUGAACGCUGGCGGCAGGCUUAACACAUGCAAGUCGAGCGGGGUGAUGGUGCUUGCACUAUCACUUAGCGGCGGACGGGUGAGUAAUGCUUAGGAAUCUGCCUAUUAGUGGGGGGCAACAUCUCGAAAGGGAUGCUAAUACCGCAUACGUCCUACGGGAGAAAGCAGGGGAUCACUUGUGACCUUGCGCUAAUAGAUGAGCCUAAGUCAGAUUAGCUAGUUGGUGGGGUAAAGGCCUACCAAGGCGACGAUCUGUAGCGGGUCUGAGAGGCAGAUCCGCCACACUGGGACUGAGACACGGCCCAGACUCCUACGGGAGGCAGCAGUGGGGAAUAUUGGACAAUGGGGGGAACCCUGAUCCAGCCAUGCCGCGUGUGUGAAGAAGGCCUUAUGGUUGUAAAGCACUUUAAGCGAGGAGGAGGCUCUUUUGGUUAAUACCCAAGAUGAGUGGACGUUACUCGCAGAAUAAGCACCGGCUAACUCUGUGCCAGCCGCCGCCGUAAUAC